CAGGAUUUUGGUGAUCUUUCCAAGACGAGGGAAGAUAUCUGAGCAAGUCUGACACCUUUUCCAUGCCUGUUUCCUCUGAUGCCUCCAGUGAAUUUUGAAGAAAGCUCUUUCAUCGAGGUCUUGUGUGAUUACAUGGAACCAAGAGAUCCCAACAUUAUUUCUUUAAGGAGUCGGAUGGGUUUGAAUCAAAGACUAUGAUGACAUAGAAAUCAUGCCAAAAAAAAUGUUUUGCCAAUAAUCUUGCUAUAAAGCUACAUAAAAAUGUAUUUAUACUGAUCCCAG